UACGUAGGGUGCGAGCGUUGUCCGGAAUUAUUGGGCGUAAAGGGCUCGUAGGCGGUUUGUCGCGUCGGGAGUGAAAUCCACUGGCUUAACUGGUGGCUUGCUUUCGAUACGGGCAGACUGGAGGUAUGCAGGGGGAGAACGGAAUUCCUGGUGUAGCGGUGAAAUGCGCAGAAUAUCAGGAGGAACACCGGUGGCGAAGGCGGUUCUCUGGGCAUGUCCUGACGCUGAGGAGCGAA
rnacentral:rRNA from 1 species